UCCCUGGUAGCUCAGGUGGUAAAGCGUUUGCCUGCAAUGCGGGGACCUGGGUUCGAUCCCUAGCUCGGGAA
rnacentral:tRNA from 1 species